rnacentral:rRNA from 1 species
UACGUAGGGUGCAAGCGUUAUCCGGAAUUAUUGGGCGUAAAGAGCUCGUAGGCGGUUUGUCGCGUCUGCUGUGAAAACCCGAGGCUCAACCUCGGGCCUGCAGUGGGUACGGGCAAACUAGAGUGCGGUAGGGGAGAUUGGAAUUCCUGGUGUAGCGGUGAAAUGCGUAGAGAUCGGGAGGAACACCAGCGGCGAAGGCGGCGACCUGGACAGUUACUGACACUCAACUGCGAAAGCGUGGGAGCAAACAGG